AUGAUUUUAGUCCAAUGCAUCUACUCCCUGUCCAGCAGUCUUGUCUCUCAGCUCACAUUCUUGCAGCCCCAGCUCACUGCGAGACACCUUCCCCUCUGUCCCUCUGCCAGCCAUUCCCAUCCAGUCACACCCUGGCAGCCUUCUUACUCCAUGGUCAGGGUUUCUGCAGAGCUGUGUGCUCUGGCAUGGCAUGGAGCACCUCUGUGGUUAGCACUGCUGCAGUCCCAGAGCAAUGAGGUGGCACCUUCCCUCUGUGGAAGGGUUGCUGCCAUGGCAACCUUCACCAAUGACAGACCUAAAGCAAACAGGUUUCUAGAAGGGGAACUGCAGGAAGCCCUGAAGUUGGACAGAUAAAUACAGAAGUGUUGCCUCCAUCAAGGAAGAGAAAACAAUGCAGAAGAUCAUCAAUGAAGAUUCACUCCUUAUUGGCCCUUCCUGACGAGUGGCAAGAAGUGAGGAAAAAAUGAACAAAGGCUCCUUCCAAAGGACGUGAGUGGUAACGGGUGCAGCUCACGGCAGCCGUCACUGACCCAUCUUUUCUGGUUUGUGUGAGUCAGAGCAAAGAGUAAUUGUGAUGUAGUUCUUCAUGCUUUGGUUUCUUGACGGAACAAUACAACCCAAAAGAUAAACAAAGCGAUAAAAUAAGCAAAUCCUC
rnacentral:lncRNA from 1 species